rnacentral:rRNA from 1 species
GACAGAGGGUGCAAGCGUUGUUCGGAAUUACUGGGCGUAAAGCGCGUGUAGGCGGCUGCGCAAGUCGGAUGUGAAAUCCCAUGGCUCAACCAUGGAAGUGCACCCGAAACUGCGUAGCUAGAGUCUCGGAGAGGAAGGCGGAAUGCUUGGUGUAGAGGUGAAAUUCGUAGAUAUCAAGCGGAACACCGGUGGCGAAGGCGGCCUUCUGGACGAUGACUGACGCUCAGGCACGAAAGCGUGGGGAGCAAACAGG